rnacentral:misc_RNA from 1 species
UCCGGCUUAUCACCGGCAGUUUCUUUAGAGUGCCCAACUUAAUGGUGGCAACUAAAGACGAGGGUUGCGCUCGUUGCGGGACUUAACCCAACACCUCACGGUACGAGCUGACGACAGCCAUGCAGCACCUGUGCUGGUACCCGGCUCUACGGGUCGCCGACCCUUUCGGGUGACUACUGCCAGCAUGUCAAACCCCGGUAAGGUUCUUCGCUUUGCAUCGAAUUAAGCCACGCGCUCCGCCGCUUGUGCGGGCCCCCGUCAAUUCCUUUGAGUUUUAGCCUUGCGGCCGUACUCCCCAGGCGGGGUGCUUAAUGCGUUAGCUGCGGCACGGACGGGGUUGAUAUCCGCCCACACCUAGCACCCAACGUUUACGGCUAGGACUAC